rnacentral:rRNA from 1 species
GUGUCAGCCGCCGCGGUAACACGGGGGGAGCAAGCGUUGUUCGGAAUCACUGGGCGUAAAGGGCGUGUAGGCGGUUGAGUAAGUGGAAUGUGAAAUGCCCCGGCUCACCCGGGGACCGGCAUUCCAUACUGCUCAGCUCGAGUAUGGGAGAGGAUGAGGGAAUUCCUGGUGUAGCGGUGAAAUGCGUAGAUAUCAGGAGGAACACCGGUGGCGAAAGCGCUCAUCUGGCCCAAUACUGACGCUGAGGCGCGAAAGCUAGGGGAGCAAACGGGAUUAGAAACCCUUGUAGUCC